ACCAAGACCUUCGAGAUUCAGAGCGCCAGAGCGUUAAGCGGCAGGCAUUAAUACUAUCAACUUCAAAGUUUGAUUAUCCCACCAUACAUUUUAAUUACAAUACAUUUGAUAAAAAAAAUUGGAGAAUCUUGUUUUUUUUAGUUCAUGAAAAAGAGAAUCUUAUUACACCUUUUUGGAUAUGCGGGAAAGGGAAUCGUGACCAUCCAAGUAAUUCAAAAGCAUCUGCAUUUUAAAUUGCUACCGUUGGAUUUUAAUACAGGUCCGUCGUCAUCGCGACCGACUUGGCCCCUCAAUUCAUCGGCGUAGGGUUUCGAGGUGGCUAUUUCAGUUCUUCUCCUCCGACGUCGCUCCCUCGGCAAACGAAACCUGAGAAUUGAGAUCUUAAUGGCGUUACAAGGCUCUGUGAUGUCUCUGUCGUCUAAAUCCUUUCUAUCAUCUAACCUUUUCCGGCUUUUGUUUCGGCACAACACCAAUUACUACUCCAAUUUACUGUUCGGAGAGAUUAAUUGCUCGUAUCGCUCCUUGUGGAGGAAAAAAUGACACGCCAUUCUCCUCUCGAUUUUCCGAUUGUAAGCCCUUUCUCUCUUUCCCUCUCUGUGUUUUUCUUUAAUUUUGUUUGUAUUUAUUUUGUUCGUUCUUCUAAUUGCUAUAUCUGUGAUGAAAUUAGAUUAAACCCUGUAAUUUCUCAAUUGAAUCAUCGAGACUUGUUACCUUGCACCGAUUUUUCAUGUUUAUUAGGGGAUAUUGAUUCAAUUAUUAGAAUAAGUUACAUUUAAUUGAUUUUGUCCUCAAAGUUGUUGUAUGUUUGCUUAUGCAGAUUUCAUUACUUUCUAGUGAUUGUUGGUUUUCAUUCUUUUGAUUGAUGAUCAAUUUUCUUUUGUUAUUUUGCUCAUCAUUUAAUAGCAAACGUUCAAGUAAAGAAUAAGAUGUUCUGGCUAAUUGCUUCCGUACGAUUCAAGUAUGGAACAUGGAUGAAUCUCUGUUGAAUGGUAAAGGCCGAAACUGGUAUAUUCUCUCAAUUUCUCCCCAAGUUUUGCCCCCUCCAUUGCCAACUGAUCCUUCUGAAGAAGGCAAGGCAAAAUUCUGAAAAUGAAGAAUCAGAGAGGCCGUAUAAGCAGUAGCAAGUGAAAGAACAUAUAUGGAGUUCAUCAACAUUUAAAGGUAGUUCUCACGUAUUGGUUAGAUCAUCAAACUUUUUCGAAUGAAAUGAGACGUAUUACUGCUCAAUCAUUUGUGCCUAGUCUAGUAAGAGAAACUUCUUGACUUCCAUAGACCUAAACCAGUACAAAUCUCUCUUUAGUUAUCCAUGUGAUGAAAACCAAGUUGUGAUCUCACUUAAAGUUUUCCUAUGACCCCAUUUCUUGGGCCAUUGUAAGGAUUAAAUUAUGAAGAACCCACGUGAGAGAAAAGGGGUAGAAGGAAGUGGGGGCAGAGGGGACCCUUUGUUUUCUGUGGACCAGAUUGGGACUGUCAAGUUAUGGAGAAUGCACAUGAGAGGGGGAGAAGAUUCUGGUAACAUGCUACUUGGAUUAUUCUAGGAAGAGAGAUAGAGAAGAUUCCGGUAAGAUGCCACAUUUGAAAAUUGAAUUAUUGAAGAUAGAGAGAGUAGAAUCUAUGGUGUCCAUCUAUCUAAGAUUUAAUAUCCUACGAGUUUCCUUAACACUCAAAUGUUAUAGAGUCAAGCGGGUUGUUCCGUGAAAUUAGUUGUACGUAACCUGACUCGGACAGUCACAUAUAUAUAUAAAAAAAGAUAGAGAGGGUGGGGAAUUGCUUUGCUAUUUUCAACCAAAGCAUUGAUACUGCGACCUUACUUGAAUGGAAUUUAUUCUAUAGGUUGUACAACUGUGUUCUUGAGUUCUAAACAAGAGCAUUAAUAUUAGUUCUACUGAUUAUUAGUGGAUCAUUUAAAAAUGAUGCGAGUCUUAGCAGAUGGAGUUAGUAAGUUAGUAGUUGUCGAUAAGGAGCCGUUUGAAUCAUCCCACAGCUGAGGAGUAACUUUAAGGAAAAGAGACAGAGAGAGGAAGGCAGAGAUUCUGAUGAGAAGGUAUACGAAUUAUCCCAAAGCUGAGGAGUAAUUUAAGGAGCAGAGAGAGAGAUUGUGAUAAGGGGCUGUUUCAAUUAUCCCAAGGCUGAAGAGUAACUUUAAGCAGCAGUCCAGAGGGAGAAUUCUGAUAAGAAGCUAUUGGAAAUUGAAUUGUUUUGGUGAAAAAGACAAUAGAAGAUACAAAGAUAGGCUGCUAUAGGGAUAAUGUUGAAUGACAUCUCUCUCCAUUCUCCAAUGAAGUCCACCAAAAAUCUGUAGCUGUAUUGAAUAUGAAUCCAAAUGAUGAUGCUGCACAUUUCUCGUUGGUGGGUCGCCUACUACUUUAAUAAUAGUAGCAGCGCAGACAGCGAUGGCUGCAACGCAUCUGUAAAUUGGGUAGGAGUGCUGGCACAAAGAGUCAAUUUUUACAGCUCAAUAAUCUGACUGGUUUCCAGGGUAAAUGUUAGAAAUAAGGGACUUUGUUGAUAGUUUAUAACUCCGAGGAUAUUUUAGUAUUUUACUUUAUCCCAAGUUUAUUUCUUUAUUGUAUUAGAGUUUGCUAGAGCCUAUAAAUAUGACUUCUCUUGUAACUUUAAUUUUAUGUUAAAAUAAUAAAAAGAGACUCUACCGUUGUUUUUUU